AAAAGUGUUUUAAAAAAAAAAAACAUUUAUAAAUUUAGUUAUUAAAUUUAUGUGCGUCGCAUAUUUAUUUAAUUUAGCAUUCAAAGCAUUUUUACGAGCUUUUAUUUAAGCAAACACUGAACGAUUAUUACAGUUUUCAUAGUACAACCUGAAAGACUUUUUAUUUUAUUUUAUCUUAUUUUAUUUUAUUUUAUUUUUUAUUCCUACACCUACUCCCACCACUAACUCCUCUACUGCAGCACACCACCAACUCCACUACUGCAAUACAUCCACUACACCUACUCCCAUUUUUUUUUAGCUUUCAUCUUCCAUCCUUCCAUCUUCACACGAAACACUUACAAUUCACAAAUUUUAAGUUCAGCAAGAAUAGCAGAGCAACCAAGUAAUAGCCAUUUCAGAUUUUGAGCAGCUCACUCAAACUCAAGGUUUCACUUUCAAAUUCUACUCUAUAAAUUGUAAUGUUUCCUUUCGUUUAUUCACAGUGAAACACCCACUUCGAUUCAUCUCUAAGACAAUCCCAAC
rnacentral:lncRNA from 1 species